rnacentral:rRNA from 1 species
CGGUGUUUAACUGGCGUGAUGUGGGACGUCCUACCGGUGGGCUUAGCCUCGCGAGGGGCGGCCCAACUAAUAUCCCGUCGCGGUGCUCUUUACUGAGUGUCGAGUCGGGCCGGUACGUUUACUUUGAACAAAUUAGAGUGCUUAAAGCAGGCUAUCCUCGCCUGAAUACUGCGUGCAUGGAAUAAUGGAAUAGGACCUCGGUUCUAUUUUGUUGGUUUUCGGAACCCCGAGGUAAUGAUUAAUAGGGAUAGAUGGGGGCAUUCGUAUUGCGACGUUAGAGGUGAAAUUCUUGGAUCGUCGCAAGACGGGCAGAAGCGAAAGCAUUUGCCAAAAAUGUUUUCAUUAAUCAAGAACGAAAGUUAGAGGUUCGAAGGCGAUCAGAUACCGCCCUAGUUCUAACCAUAAACGAUGCCAGCUAGCGAUCCGCCGAAGUUCCUCCGAUGACUCGGCGGGCAGCUUCCGGGAAACCAAAGCUUUUGGGUUCCGGGGGAAGUAUGGUUGCAAAGCUGAAACUUAAAGGAAUUGACGGAAGGGCACCACCAGGAGUGGAGCCUGCGGCUUAAUUUGACUCAACACGGGAAACCUCACCAGGCCCAGACACCGGAAGGAUUGACAGAUUGAUAGCUCUUUCUUGAUUCGGUGGGUGGUGGUGCAUGGCCGUUCUUAGUUGGUGGAGCGAUUUGUCUGGUUAAUUCCGAUAACGAACGAGACUCUAGCCUGCUAAAUAGGCGUACCUUAUGGUAUCGCGAAGGCCCCCGGCUUCGGCCGGUGGGUUUUUACUACCAACGUACAAACAAAUCUUCUUAGAGGGACAGGCGG